GCGCCAGUAGCUCAGUUGGUAGAGCAGCUGACUCUUAAUCAGCGGGUCGUGGGUUCGAAUCCUACCUGGCGCACCA
rnacentral:tRNA from 1 species